rnacentral:rRNA from 1 species
UACGUAGGGUGCAAGCGUUAAUCGGAAUUACUGGGCGUAAAGCGUGCGCAGGCGGUUGUGCAAGACAGAUGUGAAAUCCCCGGGCUUAACCUGGGAAUUGCAUUUGUGACUGCACGGCUAGAGUGUGUCAGAGGGGGGUAGAAUUCCACGUGUAGCAGUGAAAUGCGUAGAUAUGUGGAGGAAUACCGAUGGCGAAGGCAGCCCCCCUGGGAUAACACUGACGCUCAUGCACGAAAGCGUAGGGGGAGCAAACAGG